rnacentral:rRNA from 1 species
AUUGAACGCUGGCGGCAUGCCUAACACAUGCAAGUCGAGCGGAGCGGCGGACGGGUGAGUAAUACCUAGGAAUCUGCCUGGUAUUGGGGGAUAAAGUACGGAAACGGGCGCUAAUACCGCAUAAUAUCAGAUGCGCCUAGGUCGGCUUAGCUAGUUGGUUUGGUAAAGGACUACCAAGGCGACGAUCCGUAACUGGUCUGAGAGGAUGAUCAGUCACACUGGAACUGAGACACGGUCAAGACUCCUACGGGAGGCAGCAGUGGGGAAUAUUGGACAAUGGGCGAAAGCCUGAUCCAGCCAUGCCGCGUGUGUGAAGAAGGUCUUCGGAUUGUAAAGCACUUUAAGUUGGGAGGCGUUACCAACAGAAUAAGCACCGGCGAACUUCGUGCCAGCAGCCGCGGUAAUAC